GUGCUUGCUUCAGGAGUACAUAUACUAAAACUGGAACAAUACAGAGAUUAGCAUGUUCCCUGUGCAAAUAUAACAUGUAAAUUCAUGAAGCAUUCCAUAUUAAA
ensembl:snRNA U6 U6 spliceosomal RNA